rnacentral:lncRNA from 1 species
CACAUGUGAUAUGAAGUUGUAAAGUUGAGAAUAGCUUGAAGUUGUAUUCGACCUGGGGCCCUUCCAAGUUCCAAAGAAAAGCCUCGACAUUCCAUCAGAAUUUUAGGUGAAAGAACUUCGGAUUAUAUUAAGUCAAGAUACCAAUUUUUCCAUUACAUUGAAGGAUCCUGAAUUUACAUUAGAGAUGUGAGCCAAAACAGAUGGCAAACGCGGGGGGUGAGAGCUAGACAAGAGCACCACCUUUAAGAUAUUCAGUGAAGGCGAGUGCAACCAGACCCAACAUGGCAAACCUCCCAUUCCACAUCUCCGCAUCAGAAGUCAUCAACCCCUUCGAUUUGGACUCCACGCUCACACCUUUGAACAAG